rnacentral:rRNA from 1 species
UACGAGGGGUGCAAGCGUUGCUCGGAAUUAUUGGGCGUAAAGGGUAGGUAGGUGGUCUCAUUUGUCUGGGGUGAAAGCCUUGAGCUUAACUCAAGAAGUGCCCCGGAAACGGUGAGACUCGAGUCCUGGAGAGGGUCGUGGAAUUCCCGGUGUAGCGGUGAAAUGCGUAGAGAUCGGGAGGAACACCAGAGGCGAAGGCGAGUCCCUGGACAACACCUGACACUGAGGCACGAAAGCCAGGGGAGCAAACGGG